GCCUCAAUAGCUCAGUGGUAGAGCGUUCCACUCGUACAGCUCCGGUUCCGCUCCUCGGCUCGGGAAUUCGCACAUGGAAAGGUCUGGUGUUCAAUCCACCAUUGAGGCA
rfam:Puccinia graminis f. sp. tritici CRL 75-36-700-3 supercont2.38 genomic scaffold, whole genome shotgun sequence.